UGACCCGUUCUGAAACACGAACCAAGGAGUCUAUCUAGUAUGCAAGUAAAUGAGCAUAAUAAACUUAUUUGCAGAAAAAACUUGACUGUUAUGGGACUACGAGUCGCAUUUAGGUGUGGCUCCUCCAUCCCGGGGUAUUUUCAUCAACAUAUGCAGCAAUGUAUAUGGAAAAUAUACCAUGAGCAUACUGGAUAUGACCCGAAAGAUGGUGAACUAUGCCUGAUCAGGUUGAAGUCAGGGGAAACCCUGAUGGAGGACCGAAGCAAUUCUGACGUGCAAAUCGAUUGUCAGAAUUGGGCAUAGGGGCGAAAGACCAAUCGAACCAUCUAGUAGCUGGUUCCUUCCGAAGUUUCCCUCAGGAUAGCUGGAGCAUAGAAAUAUCUUUUUCUAACUCAUACCUGGUAAAGCGAAUGAUUAGAGGCCUUAGGAACGAAAUGUUCUUAACCUAUUCUCAAACUUUAAAUGGGUAUGUAAGCUAACAUACUUGAUUGAUGUUGGCCUGGUGGUAGAUGAAAGUCUAUCUGUAAGAUUGUAUGCGCCCAGUGGGCCAAGUUUUGGUAAGCAGAACUGGUGCUGCGGGAUGAACCGAACGCAUUGUUAAGGCGCCCAAAUAAACGACGCAUCAUCGAUACCAUGAAAGGUGUUGAUUGCGAAGACAGCAGGUCGGGUGCCCCA
rnacentral:rRNA from 1 species